UCCUNCUCUAAUUAUUGGUAGUAAUGAUAUUAACGUUGCAUUCAGUUUCUUUCUGUAUUAAGAAGCUAGAGGACUCUAUCUCGUAGUAAUCUUCUAUUUAUUUAGAGUAUGUUAGUUACAACUUUCACGCCUUUGGAGAUGAUAAAAUAAUGAUUUAAACUUGUUUUUCUUUAUUAAUAUUGCCUAGUAACAUUUUAAAUUUUGAUCAAUAAAUAGUUAUUUUACACAGAAGAUAUGUUGCCCACCUGUAUUUUAGACUUUUGCCACAUCACCAGUGGGCAGCAUAUCUCGUGUUUACUAUGGGCAAAAGAUCAGUUCUGUUAUUUUACAUUAGAACUCAUUUACUUAUAUUUAUACUUUUUAGCUUAGCCAAACAUGCUCCAAACAUUGACAUGGGAGAGGCGUACUUGGGCAUUGCAGAAGAUAAUUUUAAACUAGCCAAAAAAAUAAAAAAGACGUGUUCAUAGGGAGUCAAGUGGAAGAAUGUAAAGUUUAUCUAAUAUUUUUAUUAAUGGUUUAAUAAUUAUUUAAUCUAGUAAAUUCUUAUUUUAUCU
rnacentral:lncRNA from 1 species